GACAGAGGGUGCAAACGUUGUUCGGAAUUACUGGGCGUAAAGCGCGUGUAGGCGGCCCAGCAAGUCGGAUGUGAAAGCCCUGGGCUUAACCUAGGAAGUGCAUUCGAAACUGCUGGGCUUGAGUUCUGGAGAGGAAGGCGGAAUUCUCGGUGUAGAGGUGAAAUUCGUAGAUAUCGAGAGGAACACCGGUGGCGAAGGCGGCCUUCUGGACAGUGACUGACGCUGAGACGCGAAAGCGUGGGGAGCAAAC
rnacentral:rRNA from 1 species